AUGCUGUCACUGAGUUCUACAGCAUACCAGGUGCGACCCUGGACACACAUGGAAACAAUCUCUACUCCUGGUCGAGUACUGGCCUCUGUGGCAAGGAUUCCCCACGACUACCUUUGUACAGACGCCUUAGGAUCUGAGCCUCGCAACGUCCCUCACAGAAGUGGAUACUGGUGGCCACCCUCCCAGACCUCGCUGGGGGGCUGCACCCCAUCCCAGUCACUGCUGAUGUUCUCUGGAAAACUGCCUAGGGCUCCCAGGAGCCUUGUCCCAGAAAUGCUGGGAGCUCUUCCCCUCCUGACGCAGCCCGCAGCCAAAGGCGGACUGAGUUGGGGCUGCCUCACCUGGAGGUUGAACAGCUGGCGAGCUUCCUGGGGCAUCAGGUCGAUGGCCAGCUUCUCACCCUGUGCAGUCGGCUGCCCUCACUCCCAAGAGCCCCCCUUACUCAUCAGGCUCUGCUUUGGGGCCCCAACCUAAUAGUGCAUCCAUGACGUUAGCGCCCACAGUGUCCCCCAAAGCACACAGUCUGUCUUUUCUACAACCUCUUCGCGGUGCAGUGAUGUCAUCUGUCUGCCUGUCUGUCUCCCCACUAGACUGAACACUCUUCAACGAUUUAUACAGAAAAGAACAGGGGUUUUGGAACAAGACAAAACUAGGAGGCAGGCUCACCAAUUCCGUGACCCUGGGCAACUUUCUUACUCUCUCCCUCGGCCUCAGUUUCCCCAUCUGUAAAAUGAGGACUCCAGCUCCUACUCACAGGCUGUUGUAAGGAUUAAAUGAGGAAGUGUAUGAGGUGCCCACAUAGUUCUCGUCAAUAAACUUGAGUGGAAUGAAGCUUCCCA
rnacentral:lncRNA from 1 species